AUUGAACGCUGGCGGCAGGCCUAACACAUGCAAGUCGAGCGGAGCGGAGGACGGGUGAGUAAUGCCUAGGAAUCUGCCUGGUAGUGGGGGAUAACGUCCGGAAACGGGCGCUAAUACCGCAAACUCUUAGCUUAGCCUAGGUGGGAGUGGCUGGUUGGUGGGGUAAAGGCCUACCAGGGCGACGAUCCGUAGCUGGUCUGAGAGGAUGAUCAGUCACACUGGAACUGAGACACGUUCCAGACUCCUACGGGAGGCAGCAGUGGGGAGUAUUGGACAAUGGGCGAAAGCCUGAUCCAGCCAUGCCGCGUGUGUGAAGAAGGUCUUCGGAUUUUAAAGCACUUUAAGUUGGGAGGCGGUACCAACAGAAUAAGCACCGGCUAACUUCGUGCCAGCAGCCGCGGUAAUAC
rnacentral:rRNA from 1 species